GCGGAGGGAAAAGAAACUAACAAGGAUUCCCCUAGUAACGGCGAGCGAAGCGGGAAGAGCUCAAAUUUGAAAGCUGGCACCUUCGGUGUCCGCGUUGUAAUCUCGAGACGUGUUUUCCGUGUGGCGCUAUGGACAAGUCCCUUGGAACAGGGCAUCGUAGAGGGUGAAAAUCCCGUACUUGCCAUGGCUGUACCAUGCUUUGUGAUACACGCUCUAAGAGUCGAGUUGUUUGGGAUUGCAGCUCAAAAUGGGUGGUAGACUCCAUCUAAAGCUAAAUAUCGGGGAGAGACCGAUAGCGAACAAGUACCGUGAGGGAAAGAUGAAAAGCACUUUGGAAAGAGAGUUAAAAGUACGUGAAAUUGUCGAAAGGGAAGCGCUUGAAGUCAGCCAUGCUGCUUGAGACUCAGCCUUGCUUUUGCUUGGUGUAUUUCUCGGUAGCAAGCCAGCAUUGGUUCGAGUCGUCGGAGAAGGGUAUGAGAAAUGUGGCAUCCUCGGAUGUGUUAUAGACUUGUACUGGAUACGACGAUUUGGAUCAAGGAACGCAGUGUGCCUCUGGCGGGUCUUCGGACACCUUCGCGC
rnacentral:rRNA from 1 species